UCUGACUCAGUCUCUUCCUGCCUGCUUUCCUACAUGACCGGUCCUCUCAGCAGCUCAGACCAUCUCUACUCUAGUCAGCAGGACUGUAUCAUGAGUUACAGUGACACUAGUGAAGGUAACUGUGAUGCAGGAUGGUCUUUAGACCUCUGCAGGAGUUUAAGGGUGAAAUGAGAAGAAGAGCAGUCUGCAGAGCUUCAUGCAGAGCUUCUUCAUGCUGAGCACAUGGCCCACAGAGAGGCACCCUGCCUCGGCCCUUGAAGCUCUGACCUCUCAGUAGAUGAUGAGUCUCCUGUGCAGACGAUGGAGAGUCCGAGGACCUGCUGGAGGAGCCAGUCUGGAGCUGGAUGAAUAAAGAUCAGACCAGAGAUGGAUGCAGCGGCCUCCUCGGAGCACUGAUGGAGCUCUACUGGGUUCUCUGGUACUGAGCAGCCUCACCUGGAGCGAGGAGCGGCCUGCAGCCCUGAGGUGGUAACCAGCUGGACUAGAUGAGGACUGCUCUCUAAGGAGCUCGUCCACACACAGACGGGAAGGAGUCGGCGUGACCGGCACCAACUCCUCUGGAAGAAAAGCCCCCAAAAGGACGGGAUUAAUCUUUCAGGAGCUGCAACGUGCGAGUAGGAACUGCUGAAAGAUGAUCCAAGUCCUCCAGGAAACGAAGCGUUACCGGUGUCGACGCGUUCCCAUUCAGAUUGAUAUAAAUAUAAUCGGCCUCUGAAGAGCCGUUUCCUGUCUUUGAUUGUCCAAAGCUUCCCCCCUCUGUUAAAUGGCUUUAACCUUUGACCUGCAGAUUUAUUUAAAUACAAAUAAAUGGUUGACAACACAA